UAGCGUAGGGGGGCAAGCGUUUGGUCCGGAAUGGAUUGGGGCGUAAAGCGUCUGUAGGUGGCUUUUUAAGUCCGCCGUCAAAUCCCAGGGCUCAACCCUGGACAGGCGGUGGAAACUACCAAGCUGGAGUACGGUAGGGGGCAGAGGGAAUUUCCGGUGGAGCGGUGAAAUGCGUAGAGAUCGGAAAGAACACCAACGGCGAAAGCACUCUGCUGGGCCGACACUGACACUGAGAGACGAAAGCUAGGGGAGCGAAUGGG
rnacentral:rRNA from 1 species